AACAUGAGUGGAUUUCCAAAUGUCAAAUGUUUCCUGCUUCAGUGUUGCAUUGGGCUGUCUGUAGCUUUAAAAGUCACACAGACACCUAUCGACCUUUUCUUAGCCAAUGGAGCGCCCAUGAACAUCACCUGCAGUCACAAUGACAAAAGCUAUGACAAAAUCUUCUGGUACCAUCAGACAAACGGGCAAAGUCUCGAGCACCUUGGCUUCCUUUCCUUCCAACAAGCCUUGGUUGACAGAAAAGGUUUCAAAAUAACAGGAGAUGCAGAGAAAGAGGCGAACCUGCUGGCGUCCUCUGUGAAAUCUGAGCACAGCGGUGUGUAUUUCUGCGCAGUGAGUGCUGCACAGUGCUUCAAGUUUAUACGAGACUGCGCUCAAAAAACCCUCCCCCAUCACAUGACACAUCUGCACCUGGGUUGACAGCCCAGUUAAAUGAGGUGAACAACAGUCUCAGCCUCUAGAUACAUGAUAGC